UACGGAGGGGGCUAGCGUUGUUCGGAAUUACUGGGCGUAAAGCGCACGUAGGCGGCUUUGUAAGUUAGAGGUGAAAGCCCGGGGCUCAACUCCGGAAUUGCCUUUAAGACUGCAUCGCUAGAAUUGUGGAGAGGUAAGUGGAAUUCCGAGUGUAGAGGUGAAAUUCGUAGAUAUUCGCAAGAACACCAGUGGCGAAGGCGGCUCACUGGCCCGGAACUGACGCUGAGGCGCGAAAGCGUGGGGAGCAAACAGG
rnacentral:rRNA from 1 species